CGUGGGUAACCUGCCCAUAAGAGGGGGAGUAACAAUCCGGAAACGGGUGCUAAUACCGCAUAGUUUUCUUGAUCGCAUGAUCGGGAAAGGAAAGACGGCCUUUGUGCUGUCGCUUAUGGAUGGACCCGCGGCGUAUUAGUUAGUUGGUGAGGUAAUGGCUCACCAAGACGAUGAUACGUAGCCGACCCUGAGAGGGUGAUCGGCCACAUUGGGACUGAGACACGGCCCAAACCCCUACCGGGAGGCAGCAGUAGGGAAUCUUCCGCAAUGGACGAAAGUCUGACGGAGCAACGCCGCGUGAGUGGAAAGAAGGUUUUCGGAUCGUAAAACUCUGUUGUCAGAGAAGAACAAGUUGGAGAGUAACUGCUCCAGCCUUGACGGUAUCUGACCAGAAAGCCACGGCUAACUACGUGCCAGCCGCCGC
rnacentral:rRNA from 1 species